rnacentral:rRNA from 1 species
AUUCCAAUCGAACUCGGAGAUAGCUGGUUCUCCCCGAAAUAGCUUUAGGGCUAGCGUUGUGUUAGUUUACCGGAGGUAGAGCACUGAAUUGGCUAAGGGGCGAUGAGCUUACUGAACCUUAUCAAACUUCGAAUGCCGGAUAAAUGGUGCACAGCAGUCAGACAGUGUGAGAUAAGUUUCAUUGUCAAGAGGGAAACAGCCCAGACCCACAGCUAAGGUCCCAAAUGAACGCUAAGUGGAAAACGAUGUGGGGUUGCAAAAACAACCAGGAUGUUGGCUUAGAGGCAGCCACUCAUUAAAAGAGUGCGUAAUAGCUCACUGGUCGAGUGACCCUGCGCGGAAAAUAUAACGGGGCUAAGCGUCCAACCGAAGCUUGGGAUGUCUAAGGACAUGGUAGGGGAGCGUCGUGUAUAGGGAGAAGCAUGAGCGAGAGCACAUGUGGACAGUACACGAGUGAGAAUGCCGGAAUGAGUAGCGAGAAUUAUGUGGGAAUCAUAAUGGCCGAAAAUCUAAGGUUUCUUGGGGAAGGUUCGUCCGCCCAAGGUAAGUCGGGAGCUAAGCUCAGGCCGAGAGGCGUAGGCGAUGCACAUACGGUAGAAAUUCCGUAACCACCGAAACUUAAACAGAGGGACACUUCGAAAUAGCGGAACCCGGGCGUUGGUUGACCCGGGCGAAAGGGAGCGAAAAUAGAGUAGCGAAGUCCGCGAUGUUCGGAGGCGAGAAAAGCUCUGAGGUAUGCUAAGGUGCCCGUACCGCAAACCGACACAGGUAGAUGAGGAGAGAAUCCUAAGGCCAACGGGAGAAGGGUUGUUAAGGAACUCGGCAAAUUGACCCCGUAACUUCGGGAGAAGGGGUGCUGCAGCAAUGCAGCCGCAGAGAAUCGGCCCAAGCAACUGUUUACCAAAAACACAGGUUUGUGCUAAAUCGAAAGAUGACGUAUACGAGCUGACGCCUGCCCGGUGCUGGAAGGUUAAGAGGAGAUGUGCAAGCAUUGAAUCGAAGCCCCAGUGAACGGCGGCCGUAACUAUAACGGUCCUAAGGUAGCGAAAUUCCUUGUCAGGUAAGUUCUGACCCGCACGAAUGGCGUAAUGAUUUGGGCACUGUCUCAACAGCCCGCCCGGCGAAAUUGUAGUACUGGUGAAGAUGCCAGUUACCCGCAACUAGACGGAAAGACCCCAUGGAGCUUUACUGCAGCUUAAUACUGAAAUUCGGUAGUACAUGUACAGGAUAGGUGGGAGACUGAGAAAUACAGGCGUCAGCUUGUAUGGAGUCGCUGUUGGGAUACCACUCUUGUACUGCUGGGUUUCUAACCUGCGGCCGUGAAUCCGGUCGGGGGACACUGUUAGGCGGGCAGUUUGACUGGGGCGGUCGCCUCCCAAAAGGUAACGGAGGCGCUCAAAGGUUCGUUCAGCACGGACGGAAAUCGUGCAAUGAGUGUAAACGCAUAAACGAGCCUAACUGCGACACCGACGGGUGGAGCAGUAACGAAAGUUGGAGUUAGUGAUCCGGUGGUAUGUGAGUGGAAAUGCCA